AUUGAACGCUGGCGGUAUGCUUAACACAUGCAAGUCGAACGGUAACAGGCCUUCGGGCGCUGACGAGUGGCGGACGGGUGAGUAACGCGUAGGAAUCUGCCUCAUAGUGGGGGACAACGUGGGGAAACUCACGCUAAUACCGCAUACGCCCUACGGGGGAAAGCGGGGGAUCUUCGGACCUCGCGCUAUGAGAUGAGCCUGCGUUAGAUUAGCUAGUUGGUAGGGUAAAGGCCUACCAAGGCGACGAUCUAUAGCUGGUCUGAGAGGACGAUCAGCCACACUGGGACUGAGACACGGUCCAGACUCCUACGGGAGGCAGCAGUGGGGGAAUUUUGGACAAUGGGCGCAAGCCUGAUCCAGCCAUUCCGCGUGCAGGAUGAAGGCCUCGGUUGGUAAACUAGCUUUGUUACGGAACGAAACGGUAC
rnacentral:rRNA from 1 species